UUCAAGAUAAAAAAUACACAUUACAAGUAAUUGGAUGACAUGGAUCUUCAAUCGCUUCCGCUCAUGAAAACCUUCCGCUCUCCGAAUUCCUUGAUCUCUGUAAUCCUUGUUUCUCUGACAAUAUUGUGUUCGCCUCCUUCCUAGAUGAUCUUUUCUCUUGUAGAAACUCUCCUAAUAUAGUGAAAAUCCCUUGGCAAAAG
rnacentral:lncRNA from 1 species